rnacentral:rRNA from 1 species
AGUGGCGAACGGGUGAGUAACACGUGAGUAACCUGCCCACAACUUUGGGAUAACGCUAGGAAACUGGUGCUAAUACUGGAUAUGUGCUCCUGCUGCAUGAUGGGGGUUGGAAAGCUCCGGCGGUUGUGGAUGGACUCGCGGCCUAUCAGCUUGUUGGUGGGGUAGUGGCCUACCAAGGCGGCGACGGGUAGCCGGCCUGAGAGGGUGACCGGCCACAUUGGGACUGAGAUACGGCCCAGACUCCUACGGGAGGCAGCAGUGGGGAAUAUUGCACAAUGGGCGCAAGCCUGAUGCAGCAACGCCGCGUGCGGGAUGACGGCCUUCGGGUUGUAAACCGCUUUCAGCAGGGACGAAGCUUUUUGUGACGGUACCUGCAGAAGAAGCACCGGCUAACUACGUGCCAGCAGCCGCGGUGAUACGUAGGGUGCGAGCGUUGUCCGGAUUUAUUGGGCGUAAAGGGCUCGUAGGCGGUUGAUCGCGUCGGAAGUGGAAACUUGAUGCUUAACGUUGAGCGUGCUUUCGAUACGGGUUGA